UACGGGGGGAGCAAGCGUUGUUCGGAUUUACUGGGCGUAAAGGGCGCGUAGGCGGCCACCGCAAGUCAGUUGUGAAAGCUCUGGGCUUAACCCAGAAAGGUCAACUGAUACUGCGGGGCUAGAGUGCAGAAGGGGCAACUGGAAUUCUCGGUGUAGCGGUGAAAUGCGUAGAUAUCGAGAGGAACACCUGCGGCGAAGGCGGGUUGCUGGGCUGAUACUGACGUGAAGUGCGAAAGCUAGGGGGAGCGAACGGGG
rnacentral:rRNA from 1 species